UUUGUCGGCGGUGUUUUUUUUGUUUAACGCGUCUUCAGAAGAUUCAGAUAAAAGUCAUUUUCUUGUUCACUGUCUAUUUUUUAACAGAAUGAAACUAAUAUUCAUCUUCUCUUCCUAAUUCCCUCUUUGCGUUCCUCAGUAGAGUUUUCACCCGUUUUACUUUGGCGGUGUGUCCGGCCAUGACUUCCUGUGUGGACCGACGGGACGGACCGGGAACAAUCCCUGACGAGCAACUUCACUUCAAGAUAUCAGCUCUGCCCUCCCUCACCUCGGCCUCCGUGGGGUCGGCGGUGGCGAGCAGCGCCUCCAGCUCGUGGUGCAUCGACUCCUCGUGCUGCUGCCGCAGCUUCACCUGGAACUCCGUCAUGACGGCGCCCCCUCUGGUCAGAUCUGCAGACGCAGAGAAACAGGAAGGUUCAAAAGUUCAAAAGUUCAUUCUGCGUCAACCCGACUUUAUUUAGGGCAAAGACGAAAAGAAUAAAACGAUAAAAAACAAAAAGGAGAACGAGUCAAUGACAGCAAAAUUAAAACAUGAAUCCAAAAUAAAAACCAGAUUAGAAAGAAGGAACCUGCUCACAGACGUUUGACUCUUCACGAGUUAAUCUCUUUAAUCACUCAGUUGCUUUUAAAUAACGAAUCAGUUGAAUAAAGAUGAGAUCAUUUACUCCCGAUUGGACGAUAUCCAACUAUUACAAGUAUUACAAAUAAAGGAAUAAGAACAGAACAGAAACACUUGUUGGAUGUUUGUCACUUUGAAAUUUACAAUUCCAGAAAUAUAACUUAAAAAAUACUGUAAACUUCAGCCUGAAACAAAUAUCUGAGCCGACCGGCUCGACACUGUUCCUAUGAUAAAAACAACAUGUCGUCGUUUUGGGGCCAAAUCCCGGCGUCAAAUCGAAGAAAAUGUGAAACCUGUCGUUUACUCGUCGAUACAAACAGACGACGCCACACGGCAAAGUUUCCACAUUUUUAAUAUUUGCUCCUCAAGUUUUUCUUUAACCUGCAAAAUAUUUGUUUUUUUCAUUUCAGUUCUUCACCGUUUCAUAAAAUCUCCCGAAAUAUUGAGAUUGUUUUUCUUAAUAAUGAAUCUGAUCAUCUUCAAAAAGGUUUUUUCAAAGUGAAUGUGACAAAACAAAAACUGCCACAAGAAUUCGGAGCAGGUUGAUAAAUCAGUAACGAUAAUUAUCAACAUAUAACA